GACGAACGCUGGCGGCGUGCUUAACACAUGCAAGUCGAACGAAAAGGCCCUGCUUUUGUGGGGUGCUCGAGUGGCGAACGGGGGAGUAACACGUGAGUAACCUGCCCUUGACUUUGGGAUAACUUCAGGAAACUGGGGCUCUUACCGGAUAGGAUCUACUGCAGCAUGUUGGGGGUUAGAAAGUGUCGGCGGUGGGGGAUGUACUCGAGGCUUAUGAGCUUGUUGGUGGGGUAGUUGCUUACCAGGGCUUUGACGGGUAGCCGGCCUGAGAGGGGGAACGGGCACCAUGGGCCUGCGGGACGGAGCAGAAGCCUACCUGACGCAGUAGUGGGGAACUUGGCAGAAUGAGCGGACGCCAGAGGUAGCAACGUCGCGUGCGUAAUGAUGGGUUUCGGGUGGUAAACAGAUUUGGAAGGUGCUGUGGACGUCGUGACGGUAACUGGUCAGGAAGCCACGGCUAACUACGUG
rnacentral:rRNA from 1 species